rnacentral:rRNA from 1 species
AAUGGGGGAAACCCUGAUGCAGCAACGCCGCGUGAGCGAUGAAGGCCUUCGGGUCGUAAAGCUCUGUCUUCGCUGACGAUAAUGACGGUAAGCGAGGAGGAAGCCACGGCUAACUACGUGCCAGCAGCCGCGGUAAUACGUAGGUGGCAAGCGUUGUCCGGAAUUAUUGGGCGUAAAGGGUGCGUAGGCGGUUUUUUAAGUGGGAUGUGAAAUACUAGGGCUCAACCUUAGAAUUGCAUUCCAAACUGGAAGGCUAGAGUGCAGGAGAGGAAAGCGGAAUUCCCAGUGUAGCGGUGAAAUGCGUAGAGAUUGGGAGGAACACCAGUGGCGAAGGCGGCUUUCUGGACUGUAACUGACGCUGAGGCACGAAAGCGUGGGGAGCAAA